ACCUGGUUGAUCCUGCCAGUAGUCAUAUGCUUGUCUCAAAGACUAAGCCAUGCAUGUCUAAGUUUUUAACGGCGAAUUUAAACGAGUGAGAUCCGCCGAACCGCCUCAAUUAUAUUCAAGUUAUAGUUUAUUUGAUGAUCGAAUUACUACAAAGCAUAACCGUAGGAAUUUCUAGAAGCUAAUACUUGCACUUAAAGGCAGUUUACUCUGUCUGCACUUAUUAGAUUUACCACCAGUGCUCUUUGAGCUUCGGUGAUUCAUAGUAAUUUAGCGGAUCGCUACGGCUUCGGCCGCGACGCUUCAUUCAAAUUUCUGCCCUAUCAGCUUUCGAUGGUAUUGUAUUGGACUACCAUGGCUUUGACGGGUAACGGAGAAUUAGGGUUCGAUUCCGGAGAGGGAGCCUGAGAAACGGCUACCACAUCUAAGGAAGGCAGCAGGCGCGCAAAUUACCCAAUCCCAACGCGGGGGAGGUAGUGACAAGAAAUAACAACAACUAACCUAUUUCAGGUGAGUUGAUGGGAAUGAGUACAAUCUAAACACCUUAACGACUAUCCAUUGGAGGGGCAAGCCUGGUGCCAGCAGCCGCGGUAAUUCCAGCUCCAAUAGCGUAUACUAAUGUUGUUGCAGUUAAGAAGCUCGUAGUCGGAUUUCAGUAGGCUCAAUUAAAUUUCAAUCAUAAUUUCUUUAUGGGCCCUACUUCUUUAACAGAAACUUCUAUAUUAUUCAUUUAGCGUGGCUAGCGACUGUCUCUUUUACUUUGAGAAAAUUAGAGUGUUCAAACCAGGUGUUAGCCUGAAUAUUGCUCUUGGAAUAAUGCUAUAAGACUUUGGUUCUAAUGUAUUGGUGAUUGAGACCAGAGUAAUGAUUGAUAGGGACGGUUGGAGUCUUACGUACUGCAAAGCGAGAGGUGAAAUUUCUUGGACCUUUGUAUGACGAACAACUGCGAAAGGCAUUGGACUAGGACGUUCCCGUUGAUUCAAGAACGAAAGUUGGGGGAUCGAAGACGAUCAGAUACCGUCGUAGUCUCAACCAUAAACUAUGCCAGCUAAGGAUCGGAAGACGUUAACAUGUUGCGACUCCUUCGGCACCUUAUGAGAAAUCAAAGCAUUUGGGUUCCGGGGGGAGUAUGGUCGCAAGGCUGAAACUUAAA
rnacentral:rRNA from 1 species